GCGGGAUCUCAGAAGUAUGGUAUGGUCCAGGAGUUUCUUUCCAACGUUUGCGGCAGGACUGCGCCAGCGGGCACAGUGGACGAACCGAAGCCUGAAUACCUACCUGGAGCCUUGACUGGCACAGACAAUAUCACAAAGAUCGUCAACAAGAGGUUUAUGAAAACACAAAAAGACGAUUUGGUAGCCACCGGAAAGGAUGCAAUGAGCACAAGCUCUAGUACCUUGGAGGAUUCAGUUUGUGACUGCAACUCACAAACCGUCACUUCCUGUUUUGCCCGCAACUCCCGCUCCACGGCACGACAUACCCAUGGUCAGUGCAAGCACCGAGUGCAAGAGUCAUCCAUGGGAACUGAAGAACGAUUCGAUACCAGUAAUGAGUGAGGAUGAGGGUGGCCUCUUCUGACGCUUCCCAAAAACUAUACAAAAUAAACAACCAUCAACACUCACACCACACAAACUGCCACAAAAACCCACUGCCACAUACGCCAAAUACACAGACACACCUAGAAAACAAACACACAUACUUCUAUCUUAAACAAACAAAAAAAAACUUCAGGGUUACAACAAAGGGACCUUGGAAAAUUCCUGCAUCUGGAGAGUUUCCAAACCAGACCUCAGUGUAACCAGCACACUUUAAUGCCAAGGAUGGGGAGAAAGUUGACCUCCCUUUUAGGUCCACCAUUCCACUGUCAAGAUUUCACAUUGUUAGUCCGUCAUUCCAGUGUAAACCAGCCAGUCCUGACUUUGAAUUCCACAAUCAUUUAGUCAGACCUCUCCUUAAACUCAGCCAUUCCUCUGUUUCCUUAUCCAGCCAAAAGGACAACUUAGCCAGCCAUUUCGAUACCCAUGGGAGAACUUGAGUAAUCCGAACCCAAGUUGACACCAGGUUUUAAUGAAUUUCAUGUAGAUAUCAAGGAAACAUAAAGCAUGCAGCUGAACUACACAAACUAAGAACCUCAACAUGGCCUUCAGUAAGAGUAAAACUUAUCAUCACAACUGCCCAGUGGCCCUUACGCUUUCCCACAAAUAGUAUUGCUUGGAGUAGCUGUAAAUUUGUCCCAUAACCAGCAAUUCAUGGAUUCUACGAGUUCAUGUACAACUUACCUUUUUUUUAAAAAAGUCUACAAUGGACCACUUUUGUCUUUGAUGGUUAAGAAGAAAGUUUCUUCCUGGAAAGUGUUGCCACCUUAAACCAACAUGGUCUCAAUUUGGUUUUAUGUUCAUGUUCUCCACAGACAAUCAUCAAACAGCAAAGCUUGUUUCAACCACUUUAUAAACUCUCCAACUACUUGGGACCAUGUUCCAUUUUCAAACCAGCCAAAAUAUGAAACUAUACGAAUAUACCCCUGGAUUUAUCUAAAAAAGGACUGGAUGAUAUGAUUCAUCAAAUUGCAUUAUAAAUCUGUUCCAUUUAAAACUUGAUAUUCUUAUUGUGCUGUCUGAAAAUGUCUACAAAGAGCACGUUGGUAGAGGUAGAGUAGGAGGAUAACAGUUGUUUUGUUUUCUUUGGUACUUUGUACUGUAUAAGUGUUUGAGCAUUAGAGUACUAACAUGUAAAUCUCCAUUCCUUGGCUAGGAUGUCCUCAUGAAUUUUAAAGUGUAAUGGACAUUUUUAUUAUACUUUUUAUUAUCGCCCCCUGCUACAACGGAAGACUGUUGCUGGGUGUAUCUUCUGCUAUCCUCUUCUUUAUUUUCACUGUCUACCUCGCCAUCCUCCAUCAUCAUGCUGAAAUAAACCUAAUGGACCUUAGUUAGGGUAGACGUCAGUUUUAAUUUGAUGUGAAUGAAAACAAGACUAUGAGGGAUAUAAGUAUAGUCAGUUAAAUAGAUUUUACUAUUGAGAUGUUAAUCUUAAGUACUUGGUUUUAAGAAUCAUUCUAAGUCCUUGCGGUCUUCUGAUUCAAGUGGUUUUUGAACUAAUGCUGACUAGACUGUUGGGUAGUAGUCUGCAUCAAUGCUGGCUCAGCAAAAAGGUGCAAAAUGGCUUAAAGGGGGAGCUUGUGAGCACCCUGCCGAAACCUAAAAUGACAAAUGGGAUAUUCUAUACACCAGGGAUGGGCAACGCCGGUCCUGGAGUACUCCUGUCAUGCAGAGUUUAGCUCCAGCCCUCACCUGCUCCAAAAAACUCACCUGCCUUUAGCCCAAGUAAUCCUGAAGAUUAAUUGGCUUGUUCAGGUGUGUUUGAUUAGGGUUAGAGCUACAGGACAGCAGCACUUUUGCCCAAAUUGCCCAUUGUUUCACUUGGGAUAGAGCCAGAGUGUACAUCAAUCCCUACAGCCUCAAUCAUGCCAAAUCGAAUGUCGUCUACCCUGACCAAAACCCAUAAUCCUAUUUAACAGAACACAUUUGAAAGCCUCACAAAAUACGAAUUAUGCAGAUUUCACAUUUAUAAACAGACAUGUUUAAGACUGAAACAUUGAAUGCUAAUUAAUUGGCCAUAGAGAGAUUUAGAGAUUUUAUCAGAUAAUCCCAAAAUAUAAUCCAUAAUCUGAUCAUUUGUCCAUGAAGCUAUGCAGUUACUGAAAUACGAGUGUGUGCCUCCCUGUAGCAGCUCCUGCAUCCAAGUCAAGGUUUUUUCUUUUGGUUUUUUCAAAUCUCCAGUUGGAGUGGUGCUGCAGAAACUGAAGUUUAGUAAUUUUUGCUGGUGCUUUUCUUAGCUAUGAUGACAGAACAUUAGAGGAAACAUUUUUUGAAUGCAUUUCUCGAGCCAUAAGAAUUGUCGAUUCUGCUCUCUUUAUAAAUCGGACAUUUCUCAAUUGUUCAGUGUCUGGAAAAACAAACAAACCAAAACAAAAACCCAGCCUAUUAUAUCCCAGAAAGUGUCACCUCUUCGUCUGUCACAGCCUUGUCAUAUGUCCCACAGCUACCUCUUAACUCAAAACUGUAUCUUAUAUUACAUUUAACCCAUUCAUGUUUUAUUUUGAAGGUCACUAGAGUGCCUUUUUAAAAGUAAAGCAACAAGAUAUCUGUUAGAAGUAUGUUUUUGAGGAACCAUCUACUGAUGGCGUGAAAUUUUCAGAGGACUGCAGUUAGCUACAGAACCCCUGUUUCUUAAAAAGGAAAGACAUGACUAAGUCUGUAUUCAUAAAGUUAAAUGAAGUGCAAAUUCAAUCUAUUGUUUCUAUUGAUUACAGAAGCCAAAAUGCAGUUUGAGGAUAUUUACGAGUGAAAUCUGCAAACGUAAUCAGUCCGUCCGUCCUUUCUUUAUAAGCCAUUAUAAAACACUAUUUGAAUGUUUCCUGUAUUGAGUCUGAUGUUGUGGCUUUGCUCACUUAUACAUGUCAGACAAAUGGUGUACUGUCCCUUCAAGUGUCCCUUAACUGUCUAGUCUGUCUGAGAUUGGUCACAUGAUCUCUGAAAAAACAGGGGGAAUGACCUUAGUUUAGGAGUUUUUCGUUUGAGUGCUCUCGUUUAAGUCUUACAUCAAAACCCCACUGAUGGUUUCCCCAAAUUUAGCAGAAGAAUGUAAAUGAAGCCAAUUAGACACUUUUAUAGCUGUUCUUAAACCAUUGACAGAAGUUUAAAAGGUCAUGUGGUUAGUGGUUUUAGAUUUAAAGGAGUUGCAUGGGAGCAGCUCUCUAAUUGGCCUUUCCAUUCACACUGUUUUAAUGCCUAGCAAUAUAUAAAACACCUCGUCGCUUAUCGUUGUCAAUAUCAAUUGCUAAAUUAUUAUGAAGAGAAUGUGUGUAUAUUUUUUUGUUUUUGUUUCCAUUUGAAAUCUCUUGAAUGAAAAAGAUGAUGUCGGAUGGACAACGAGGAACAUUUCUAAACGUUUUAACUUGAAAUCGAAUAUACUGUAAAUAAAUACGCAAUUUGUACUCUUUCUAUCCUUGUGUAGGAAAUUUUGAAUGUCUCUGCCAACUUUGAGCUUGAAUUCUGUACCUUUCCUCAACUGAAUUAAAAACAUGAGAACAUUUUGUGUAAAUAGAAACAUUUUGAAAAUAAAAGUGCUGAAAAUUU